rnacentral:SRP_RNA from 1 species
UCGUACUAGGCGGGGAGUUAGCGGUGCCCUCUACCUGCAAUCCGCUAUAGCAGGGCUGAAUGCUUACAUGAGCCUAUUUUCUUUUAUUAUGGGCUUCUGGAGAGGGUGAUGAAGUUUGGGUCCUUCAUAGGGAUGUGCCUUAAACCCCGUUAGAUCCGGAAGGAAGCAGCGGUAGGAGGAUUUCACCCCUGAUGGAGGGGAGCCUGAAUGGAGCUUUUCUUUGGUUGUACCGAUAAAGGAAAAUUGGCGAAGUAAGCUGUACGA